rnacentral:rRNA from 1 species
UGACGACCAUAGCGACUUGGUACCACUCCUUCCCAUCCCGAACAGGACAGUGAAACGAGUCAGCGCCGAUGAUAGUGCGGAUCCCCGUGUGAAAGUAGGUCAUCGUCA